GGGGAACAAAGAAGAAGAAGAUGAAUGGGGAAGAAGAAGAUGAGUUCAAUCACCAAAACCACCUAAACCAAAAACCUAAACAAACUCCAAGACUAGAGAUGAAUUGGACGGCCAAAGAACUAACCUAUUCUUUGGAAGAGAAACCCUAUUUAUACUUAGGGUUGGAGAACACAGAAAAUGGGCCGAAAUUGACGAAAUCCAUAUUGGACGUAUGUACGUCGAAAUAACGUUCGUACGUCUUCACACGAUAAACGCUUCCUGCCUGCUUGGACGUACGAACGUCCUAACAAGGUACGUACGUCCUGAACAAAAACAAUCCUGCUGCCUAACCUGACGUACGUACGCUCUAACUCGGUACGUACGUUCAACACGAUGAAAGUUUGCUGACCUACUGGACGUACGUACGUCCUAACUAGGUACGUACGUCCUAAACCAAAAGCACACUAUAGAUACACAAGACACAAGGACAAGAACCUAGGAUGACAUGCACACAACGAGGUUUUCCUAACAAUGAACUCAAGGCGAGAUAACCAUGGACACCAAUGUCACAAAAUUGAUGUCAAACAACUUAGUGCCGGUUUCAGUUUUUGGCCUUAAAAUGGCACAAUAUCCUUCCAAACUGCACUCUACACCAAGCCAAUUAUCCAAUCCCUUACAUCCCCAUAAAAUGUAAGGAAAUAGGAGAAAAAGUGUUUUAAUUAUCAAAUUACUCUAAAAUAAUUUUACCCAUAUAAACUAACAGCAGCAAAGGCAGCCAAGCCCUAUUAUCACACCAAGAAUACUCAUUGCAGAUUGAGCAGCAGCGGUUGACUUAGGAUGCAAAUUAGAUUGUGAAUAAGCUAGAAUGCUAGAUAGAGUGAUAGACUGGGGUGUUACCACCUAAACUCCUGAAGUACCAAUUACCAUAACUUAAUCUUCAGACCAGCUUCACAGUGACCUGGAAAACCGAAAACCACAGAUAAAGUAAUGGUAGCCAGUCGAUCUUGUUAAGGAUAAUUUCAUCAUUGCCAGAUUUUUGUAUCUCACCAGUGGAUGUUCGGCGUUGCAGGACUUGUAGUCAGCACUAGGCCACUAGUCACAAUCAUCGCAUUGUGAAUUUUUGGACUGUAAACGAAAACUGCAUAUUAAACCAAAAAUUAAAAAAAUAGGUCAUUAAAUUCGAUAAUCUAUGAAUCUGCAGGUUUCAAAUAGGUCAAUGUACUUGGUUUAAUCAAGAAAAAAAAUAUUAGGUUAACAAAAACAAUAAUCAAGAAAGUAUUCCAAAUUUUAUACGAAAAAUGUAUAAAGAUAAUCUUUGAGUCAAUAAUACAAUUAAAAAGGUCAUAUUAAACGGGUGACUAGAUAUAAACGCUCCAAUUUUUAACUGAGUAAGAGCAUCGAUCACUAACGGGUGGUGCAAAUUUACACAUCCACAUACUUGCCAACAGGCAGAACAUAUAGAUAGUGAAAUCGAUGAUUCUGACAUGGUCAAUUGAAAAGUUGACAAUUAAAAAUGACAUUGUUGAAUGUUUCCAAAAAUAUGGAACUUGAAAUGACAGGAGAAAUGAAUAAACGUACCAAUCUCUUAUCACCAACUUGAAAGCUCUUAGAAGCAGACUGCUUGUUGUACUCAGCACCAUUAUUGGUCCCCCAUCCAUGAAAAUCUCCCACUCCUCCCACUU
rnacentral:lncRNA from 1 species